rnacentral:rRNA from 1 species
GAUGACGAGCGGCGGACGGGUGAGUAAUACUUAGGAAUCUACCUAGUAGUGGGGGAUAGCUCGGGGAAACUCGAAUUAAUACCGCAUACGACCUACGGGAGAAAGGGGGCAACUUGUUGCUCUCGCUAUUAGAUGAGCCUAAGUCGGAUUAGCUAGAUGGUGGGGUAAAGGCCUACCAUGGCGACGAUCUGUAGCUGGUCUGAGAGGAUGAUCAGCCACACCGGGACUGAGACACGGCCCGGACUCCUACGGGAGGCAGCAGUGGGGAAUAUUGGACAAUGGGGGAAACCCUGAUCCAGCCAUGCCGCGUGUGUGAAGAAGGCCUUUUGGUUGUAAAGCACUUUAAGCAGUGAAGAAGACUCUUCGGUUAAUACCCGGAGACGAUGACAUUAGCUGCAGAAUAAGCACCGGCUAACUCUGUGCCAGCAGCCGCGGUAAUACAGAGGGUGCAAGCGUUAAUCGGAAUUACUGGGCGUAAAGCGAGCGUAGGUG